GAUGAACGAGGGCGGGGGGAAGAAUAACGGCAAGUCGAGCGACCGGACGAGAAGCUUGCUUUUCUGAUGUUAGCGGCGGACGGGUGAGUAACACGUGGAUAACCUACCUAUAAGACUGGGAUAACUUCGGGAAACCGGAGCUAAUACCGGAUAAUAUUUUGAACCGCAUGGUUCAAAAGUGAAAGACGGUCUUGCUGUCACUUAUAGAUGGAUCCGCGCUGCAUUAGCUAGUUGGUAAGGUAACGGCUUACCAAGGCAACGAUGCAUAGCCGACCUGAGAGGGUGCACAGCCACACUGGAACUGAGACACGGUCCAGACUCCUACGGGAGGCAGCAGUAGGGAAUCUUCCGCAAUGGGCGAAAGCCUGACGGAGCAACGCCGCGUGAGUGAUGAAGGUCUUCGGAUCGUAAAAUUCUGUGAUUAGGGAAGAACAUAUGUGUAAGUAACUGUGCACAUCUUGACGGUACCUAAUCAGAAAGCCACGGCUACCUACGUC
rnacentral:rRNA from 1 species